rnacentral:lncRNA from 1 species
CUCUUUCAUCCGAGCAGGAGAAGGUGCUCUUAAACAAGGUCCCUCUAAAUGAUAUGUUUGGUUAUUCCACUGAACUUAGGUCAUGCACAGAGGGAAAGGGAGAAUACACAAUGGAGUAUAGCAGGUAUCAGCCAUGUUUACCAUCCACACAAGAAGACGUCAUUAAUAAGUAUUUGGAAGCUACAGGUCAACUUCCUGUUAAAAAAGGAAAAGCCAAGAACUAACUUUGCUUACUGUGAGUUGACUGACUCUAAUUGAAUCUGCGUGGUUUUGAUACUUUGAUGGAUUCCAGUGGAAUAAAUUCAGGCUGCUGAAACAAGAAAUUCUGAGCCCAGGAAGCGGGCUCUUCUUUCUUCAAAAGAAGCCCUUCUUGUUCAUAUUCAGGAGCUUCUGUUAUAUUCAAAGGUAAUUCUAUGUCUAUCUCAACUCUAUUGAUUGGUUUUAUAGUUCAUUGAAAAUCCUCAAAUAAAAUAUAAUUAUUACUGAAAUAUGUUUAAUAUUUAAGGGGAAAAGAGACUAAUUUCAGUUAUACUUUUAAGCUUAGAAUGUAUGUUCAUUUCCAAAUUUUGUAUCAUAAGAGUUUUCAACAUAGAGAAAAGCUGAAAAAAUGCAAAGAAUAACCACAUACUUUCCAUCUACCUUCCUUUGUUAACGGG